UACGUAGGGGGCUAGCGUUGUCCGGAAUCAUUGGGCGUAAAGAGCGUGUAGGCGGCUCGGUAAGUCCGCUGUGAAAGUCCAGGGCUCAACCCUGGAAUGCCGGUGGAAACUGUCGGGCUAGAGUCCGGAAGAGGCGAGUGGAAUUCCUGGUGUAGCGGUGAAAUGCGUAGAUAUCAGGAGGAACGCCGGUGGCGAAAGCGACUCUCUGGGCCGUUCCUGACACUAAAGCGCGAGAGCUAGGGGAGCAAACAGG
rnacentral:rRNA from 1 species